rnacentral:rRNA from 1 species
UACGUAGGGGGCGAGCGUUGUCCGGAUUUAUUGGGCGUAAAGAGCGUGUAGGCGGCUCGAUAAGUCCGCUGUGAAAGUCCAGGGCUCAACCCUGGGAUGCCGGUGGAUACUGUCGGGCUCGAGUCCGGAAGAGGCGAGUGGAAUUCCUGGUGUAGCGGUGAAAUGCGCAGAUAUCAGGAGGAACACCAAUGGCGAAGGCAGCUCGCUGGGACGUGACUGACGCUGAGACGCGAAAGCGUGGGGAGCAAACAGG